rnacentral:rRNA from 1 species
CGGGUGCGGCGCCGGUCUAAGUUCCUUGGAACAGGACGUCAUAGAGGGUGAGAAUCCCGUUCAUGACCGGCGACCUAGCCCGUGUGAAGCUCCUUCGACGAGUCGAGUUGUUUGGGAAUGCAGCUCUAAAUGGGUGGUAAAUUUCAUCUAAAGCUAAAUACCGGCCAGAGACCGAUAGCGCACAAGUAGAGUGAUCGAAAGAUGAAAAGCACUUUGGAAAGAGAGUUAAAAAGUACGUGAAAUUGUUGAAAGGGAAGCGCUUGCGACCAGACUUGCUCGCGGGUGAUCAGCCGCCCUUCUGGGCGGUGCACUCGCCCGCGAUCAGGCCAGCAUCGGUUUGGGCGGUCGGAUAAAGGCCCCGGGAAUGUAGCUCCCUCCGGGGAGUGUUAUAGCCUGGGGUGCAAUGUGGCCAGCCUGGACCGAGGACCGCGCUUCGGCUAGGAUGCUGGCGUAAUGGUUGUAAGCGACCCGUCUUGAGACACGGACCAAGGAGUCUAACAUCUAUGCGAGUGUUUGGGUGUCAAACCCAUGCGCGCAAUGAAGGUGAACGGAGGUGGGAACCCAAAGGGUGCACCAUCGACCGAUCCUGAUGUCUUCGGAUGGAUUUGAGUAAGAGCAUAGCUGUUGGGACCCGAAAGAUGGUGAACUAUGCCUGAAUAGGGUGAAGCCAGAGGAAACUCUGGUGGAGGCUCGCAGCGGUUCUGACGUGCAAAUCGAUCGUCAAAUUUGGGUAUAGGGGCGAAAGACUAAUCGUACCAUG